AACGAACGCUGGCGGCAGGCCUAACACAUGCAAGUCGAGCGCCCCGCAAGGGGAGCGGCGGACGGGUGAGUAACGCGUGGGAACGUGCCCCAAGGUACGGAAUAGCCCCGGGAAACUGGGGGUAAUACCGUAUGUGCCCUACGGGGGAAAGAUUUAUCGCCUUGGGAUCGGCCCGCGUUGGAUUAGGUAGUUGGUGGGGUAAUGGCCUACCAAGCCGACGAUCCAUAGCUGGUUUGAGAGGAUGAUCAGCCGCACUGGGACUGAGACACGGCCCAGACUCCUACGGGAGGCAGCAGUGGGGAAUCUUAGACAAUGGGCGCAAGCCUGAUCUAGCCAUGCCGCGUGAGCGAUGAAGGCCUUAGGGUUGUAAAGCUCUUUCAGGGGGGGAAGAUAAUGACUGUACCCCCAGAAGAAGCCCCGGCUAACUCCGUG
rnacentral:rRNA from 1 species